AUUGAACGCUGGCGGCAUGCUUUACACAUGCAAGUCGAGCGGCAGCGCGGGGGCAACCCUGGCGGCGAGCGGCGAACGGGUGAGUAAUGCAUCGGAACGUGUCCCGUAGUGGGGGAUAACGCCGGGAAACCGGCGCUAAUACCGCAUAUGCUCUACGGAGGAAAGGGGGGACCCGCAAGGGCCUCCCGCUAUGGGAGCGGCCGAUGUCCGAUUAGCUUGUUGGUGAGGUAAAGGCUCACCAAGGCGACGAUCGGUAGCUGGUCUGAGAGGAUGAUCAGCCACACUGGGACUGAGACACGGCCCAGACACCUACGGGUGGCAG
rnacentral:rRNA from 1 species